rnacentral:tRNA from 1 species
GCGGGUGUAGUUCAAUGGUAGAACACCACUCUUCCAAGGUGGCUACGUGGGUUCGAUUCCCGUCACCCGCUCCA